rnacentral:tRNA from 1 species
UCCAGGGUAGCCUAAGGUAGCCAUCUGCCCUGUAAGCGGAACACUGUGGGUUCGAUUCCCAUCCCUGGAC